CCUACGGGCGGCUGCAGUGGGGAAUAUUGGACAAUGGGGGCAACCCUGAUCCAGCCAUGCCGCGUGUGUGAAGAAGGCCCUCGGGUUGUAAAGCACUUUCAGUGAGGAAGAACGCCUGGUGGUUAAUACCCAUCAGGAAAGACAUCACUCACAGAAGAAGCACCGGCUAACUCCGUGCCAGCAGCCGCGGUAAUACGGAGGGUGCGAGCGUUAAUCGGAAUUACUGGGCGUAAAGCGCGCGUAGGUGGCUUGGUAAGCCGGUUGUGAAAGCCCCGGGCUCAACCUGGGAACGGCAUCCGGAACUGUCAAGCUAGAGUGCAGGAGAGGAAGGUAGAAUUCCCGGUGUAGCGGUGAAAUGCGUAGAGAUCGGGAGGAAUACCAGUGGCGAAGGCGGCCUUCUGGACUGACACUGACACUGAGGUGCGAAAGCGUGGGUAGCAAACAGGAUUAGAUACCCUAGUAGUC
rnacentral:rRNA from 1 species